rnacentral:lncRNA from 1 species
GGUUGGGAGGAAGUAAAAUUCUCUAGGGGAAGUAAAAGUUGUGGGGAGAAAAUAACAAAAAAAAGUUUUGGAGGGUUUGGAGGGAAAUAAAAUUUUUGGGGGAAAGUAAAAUUUUUAGGGGAAAGUAAAAGGGUUUAAAGGAGUUGGGGAUUGGGAAGGGAAGUAAAAUGGUUUGGUAUUUGGUUUAUUUGAAUUAUUCGAGUUAUUUGAAUUAGAAAA